CCUACGGGUGGCAGCAGUGAGGAAUAUUGGUCAAUGGCCGGGAGGCUGAACCAGCCAAGUCGCGUGAGGGAAGACGGCCCUAUGGGUUGUAAACCUCUUUUGUCAGGGAGCAACGUGCACGUCGUGACGCGCUGUUGGAGUACCUGAAGAAAAAGCAUCGGCUAACUCCGUGCCAGCAGCCGCGGUAAUACGGAGGAUGCGAGCGUUAUCCGGAUUUAUUGGGUUUAAAGGGUGCGCAGGCGGAAGCACAAGUCAGCGGUAAAAUCGCGGGGCUCAACCCCGCUGCGCCGUUGAAACUGUGGUCCUUGAGUGCGCGAAGGGUAGGCGGAAUGCGUGGUGUAGCGGUGAAAUGCAUAGAGAUCACGCAGAACUCCGAUCGCGAAGGCAGCCUACAGGCGCGCAACUGACGCUCAUGCACGAAAGCGUGGGUAUCGAACAGGAUUAGAUACCCCUGUAGUC
rnacentral:rRNA from 1 species